CCUACGGGAGGCAGCAGUGGGGAAUAUUGGACAAUGGGGGCAACCCUGAUCCAGCAAUGCCGCGUGUGUGAAGAAGGUCUUCGGAUUGUAAAGCACUUUCGACGGGGACGAUGAUGACGGUACCCGUAGAAGAAGCCCCGGCUAACUUCGUGCCAGCAGCCGCGGUAAUACGAAGGGGGCUAGCGUUGCUCGGAAUGACUGGGCGUAAAGGGUGCGUAGGCGGCGAGAUAAGUCAGGCGUGAAGUUCCUGGGCUCAACCUGGGGACUGCGUUUGAGACUGUUUGGCUAGAGGAUGGAAGAGGCUCGUGGAAUUCCCAGUGUAGAGGUGAAAUUCGUAGAUAUUGGGAAGAACACCGGUGGCGAAGGCGGCGAGCUGGUCCAUUACUGACGCUGAGGCACGAUAGCGUGGGGAGCAAACAGGAUUAGAUACCCUGGUAGUCCACGCCGUAAACGAUGUGUGCUGGAGUGUUGGGUUACGUAUAGUAACCGUACAGUGUCGUAGUACUACGACGAUAAGACACACCGCCGUCGGGUAGGUACGGCCGGCGACGGUUAGUAAACGUUAAACGGUAAGUUAGACGGCGUGAGACGUCGCCGACGGACGACGACGAGGGAGUAGG
rnacentral:rRNA from 1 species